rnacentral:lncRNA from 1 species
AGGUCUGGACAUAAGAGUGCUGUCUCUCUUGCUCUGCCCUCACUGCAUACCACAAGAGUCUGAAACCCACAGCCAUGAGGAUGUUCACUCUGCUCACCACCAUUCUCCUGCUGGCCCUGCACACUCAGGCAAAAUCUCCCUAAGGAGGCACUGAGGAGGCUCCAGACCAUGAACAGUUGGUCAAGGAGGACCAGGACAUUUCUAUAUCCUUUGGAGGGGAUAAAGGCACUGCUCUCCAAAAUGCAGAUGUGAAAUCCCUCUUGCAAUGCUAUUUCAGACUCACAGGCUGUGUUAUUGGAGAUUGGCUUUCUGGGCCUGUGAUUAUCGGGGCCACAUCUUCUGACUUUACUGCCACUGAGCAAUAAGAACAAGUACAAUAUGUUUGUCAUCUGACUUGAGAUCCUGAAGGAGACUGUUUUUUUGUGCCAUGUUAUGUCCUUGAGUUUUCUCUUCCUUUAUAUCCAAAUAAAGUUCUUA